UACGGCGACAUCACAUUGAAACACUGGUUCUCGUAUGAUCAUCGAAGUUAAGCAACGUUAAGCCUGAUCAGUACCUAGAUGGGUGACCGCUUGGGAAUAUCAGUUGCUGUAAG